rnacentral:rRNA from 1 species
GGCUGUCGUCAGCUCGUGUCGUGAGAUGUUGGGUUAAGUCCCGCAACGAGCGCAACCCACGUCUUUAGUUGCCAGCAUUUAGUUGGGCACUCUAGAGAGACCGCCGGUGAUAAACCGGAGGAAGGUGUGGACGACGUCAAGUCAUCAUGCCCCUUACAUCCUGGGCUACACACGUACUACAAUGCUACGGACAAAGGGCAGCAAACUCGCGAGAGCUAGCAAAUCCCAUAAACCGUGGCUCAGUUCAGAUCGUAGGCUGCAACUCGCCUACGUGAAGGAGGAAUCGCUAGUAAUCGCAGGUCAGCAUACUGCGGUGAAUACGUUCCCGGGCCUUGUACACACCGCCCGUCACACCAUGGAAGUUGGCCACGCCCGAAGUCGUUACUCCAACCCUUGUGGAGGAGGAUGCCGAAGGUGGGGCUGAUGACUGGGGUGAAGUCGUAACAAGGUAGCCGUACCGGAAGGUGCGGCUGGAUCACCUCCUAA